UACGGGGGGGGCAAGCGUUGUCGAGUAUGACUGGCAGAAGGUUGUAGGUGGCCAACUAAGUCAGAGUGAAAUCCCUCGGCUUAACCGGGGAACUGCGGUCUGAUCUGGAUGCUCGAGUUUGGGAGAGGGAUGGCGGAAUUCCAAGGUGUAGCGGUGAAAUGACGUAGGAUAUCUGGAGGAACACCGGUGGCGAAGGCGGCAUCCUGGACCAACACUGACGGCUGAGUGGAGCGAAAGCCAGGGGAGCAAACGGG
rnacentral:rRNA from 1 species